rnacentral:rRNA from 1 species
ACGAACGCUGGCGGCGUGCUUAACACAUGCAAGUCGAACGGAAGGCCCUGCUUUUGUGGGGUGCUCGAGUGGCGAACGGGUGAGUAACACGUGAGUAACCUGCCCUUGACUUUGGGAUAACUUCAGGAAACUGGGGCUAAUACCGGAUAGGAGCUCCUGCUGCAUGGUGGGGGUUGGAAAGUUUCGGCGGUUGGGGAUGGACCCGCGGCUUAUCAGCUUGUUGGUGGGGUAGUGGCUUACCAAGGCUUUGACGGGUAGCCG